rnacentral:rRNA from 1 species
UACGUAGGGUGCGAGCGUUAAUCGGAAUUACUGGGCGUAAAGCGUGCGCAGGCGGUUCGUUAAGACAGAUGUGAAAUCCCCGGGCUUAACCUGGGAACUGCAUUUGUGACUGGCGAGCUAGAGUAUGGCAGAGGGGGGUAGAAUUCCACGUGUAGCGGUGAAAUGCGUAGAUAUGUGGAGGAAUACCGGCGGCGAAGGCGGCCUCCUGGCUUAAUACUGACGCUGAGGUGCGAAAGCGUGGGGAGCAAACAGG